AUUGAACGCUGGCGGCAUGCUUUACACAUGCAAGUCGAACGGCAGCGCGGGCUUCGGCCUGGCGGCGAGUGGCGAACGGGUGAGUAAUGCAUCGGAACGUGCCCAGUCGUGGGGGAUAGCCCGGCGAAAGCCGGAUUAAUACCGCAUACGACCUGAGGGUGAAAGCGGGGGACCGAAAGGCCUCGCGCUAUUGGAGCGGCCGAUGUCGGAUUAGCUAGUUGGUGGGGUAAAGGCUUACCAAGGCGACGAUCCGUAACUGGUCUGAGAGGACGACCAGCCACACUGGGACUGAGACACGGCCCAGACUCCUACGGGAGGCAGCAGUGGGGAAUUUUGGACAAUGGGGGCAACCCUGAUCCAGCCAUGCCGCGUGCGGGAAGAAGGCCUUCGGGUUGUAAACCGCUUUUGUUCGGGAAGAAAUCCUCUGGGCUAAUACCCCGGGGGGAUGACGGUACCGGAAGAAUAAGCACCGGCUAACUACGUG
rnacentral:rRNA from 1 species